rnacentral:rRNA from 1 species
UUUACCUACGGGGGGCAGCAGUGGGGAAUAUUGGGCAAUGGAGGAAACUCUGACCCAGCAAUGCCGCGUGAAUGAAGAAGGUCUUCGGAUUGUAAAGUUCUUUAGUCAGGGAAGAAGUCAAUGACGGUACCUGAAGAAUAAGCUCCGGCUAACUACGUGCCAGCAGCCGCGGUAAUACGUAUGGUGCAAGCGUUAUCCGGAUUUACUGGGUGUAAAGGGAGCGCAGGCGGCGCGUUAAGCCUGGUGUGAAAGCCCGCGGCCCAACCGCGGGACUGCAUUGGGAACUGGCUCGCUG